GGCCGUGUAAUAGCUCCAGUACAAAGCACAGCACCCUGCUGCCCCAAAUUAGGCCUAAUUGUCGUAGUUUAUCACGUAAAGUACAUACGGUCUGCGAAGAAUACACCUUAAGUUUGUACACCAGCCAUCACCUACUGAGCUGUAAUAACUAAGAUGAGAUUGUAAUGUGCGGGAAAAACGAAGGGAGAACACCUUUGGUGGACUAGGAUGGAAAAUAUUUCACAUGAACACUUCAACAAACAACCUUUUGGAUCAUUAUGGAGGACACUUUUGGUGGACUAGGAUGGAAUAUAUUUCACAUGAACACUUCAACAAACAACCUUUUGGAUCAUUAGGGAGGAUACUUUUGGUGGACUAGGAUGGAAUAUAUCUCACAUGAAUAUCUCAACAAACAACCUUUUGGAUCAUUAGGGAGGACACUUUUGGCGGACUAGGAUGGAAUAUUUUUCACAUGAACACUUCAACAAACAAUCUUUUGGAUCUUUAGGGAGGAUACUUUUGGUGGACUCGUUUGGAUAUAUUUCACAUGAACAUCUCAACAAACAACUUUUUAGAAUAUUAGGGAGGACACUCUUGGUGGACUCGGUUGGAAUAUAUUUCACAUGAACACUUCAACAAACAACCUUUUGGAUCUUUAGGGAGGAUACUUUUGGUGGACUAGGAUGGAAUAUAUUUCACAUGAACACUUCAACAAACAAUCUUUUGCAUCAUUAGGGAGGAUACUUUUGGUGGACUAGGAUGGAAUAUAUUUCACAUGAAUACCUCAGCAUAUAAUUGUAUAUAUUCUUAAGAAUAUUCUUUAAAGACGGUUAGUAAAUCCUGAUAUACUAAUUACAUAAGUUUUAUUGUUUUCAUGAAGUUACACUGCAUGUCGCCAUACUGAAUAGUUGUUCUUCCUUCAGUAGCUUAAAAUUGGAUUUUUCAUUUCGUUGAUAUUCUCCAGUGGCCAUUGGUGGGCCUUAGAAUUAAUAACACAAAAGAUCGUUGUUCGAUUGUGUAGCUUUGCGCUUAAACAAAGCAAAUACUUCCCUCAUGAGAGAAAGAAAGAAAGUAGAAAUGUCUCACUUUACGUGAGUAAAAUGUUUAUCAUAAGAACAUUAAAAGAAAAACAUUUAAUUGCAAAACUUGGCUAACACAACAAAACAUAAAACGUAACAUUAAAAUCACCAAUAUCCGAUUAAACGUUUUUCUUUCCUGAUAUCAAACACAUGUUAUUAACAAGUAUAUGUGUCUUGUGAAAUAUGUGUGUGUGUACGUUUUUCUUUAGCAAAUCCACAUCAGGCUAUCUCCUUGUUCACCGAGGGGAAUCGAACCUCUAAUUGUAGUAUUGAAGUUCCGUAGACUUACCACUGUCCCACCGGGUGACUUUGUAAAAAUAGGUGAAUUUCGGCAAAACAGUUUUUUUUUUAUCCAGUACCGUAACACUGAGUAAUCAAGGUUUCAAACUUGUUUAAACUCUAAUAAUUCAAAACCAUUUGCCGUGAAAUAAAGAUGAAAACAGAUUCUUUAAUAUAGUA